GAUUGCCCUAGUAACGGCGAGUGAAGCGGCAACAGCUCAAAUUUGAAAUCUGGCCCCCAGGGCCCGAGUUGUAAUUUGUAGAGGAAGCUUUGGGCGCGGCCCCCACCGAGUCCCCUGGAACGGGGCGCCAUAGAGGGUGAGAGCCCCGUAUGGUGGGAUGCCUAGCCUCUGUAAAGCUCCUUCGACGAGUCGAGUAGUUUGGGAAUGCUGCUCAAAAUGGGAGGUAAAUUUCUUCUAAAGCUAAAUAUUGGCCAGAGACCGAUAGCGCACAAGUAGAGUGAUCGAAAGAUGAAAAGCACUUUGAAAAGAGGGUUAAACAGCACGUGAAAUUGUUGAAAGGGAAGCGCUUGUGACCAGACUUGCGCCCGGCUGAUCAUCCGGUGUUCUCACCGGUGCACUCUGCCGGGCUCAGGCCAGCAUCGGUUCUCGCGGGGGGAGAAAGGCCUGGGGAACGUAGCUCUUCCGGGAGUGUUAUAGCCCCUGGCGGCAUGCCCUCGCGGGGACCGAGGUUCGCGCAUUCGCAAGGAUGCUGGCGUAAUGGUCAUCAGCGACCCGUCUUGAAACACGGACCAAGGAGUCAAGGUUUUGCGCGAGUGUUUGGGUGUCAAACCCGCACGCGUAAUGAAAGUGAACGUAGGUGAGAGCUUCGGCGCAUCAUCGACCGAUCCUGAUGUAUUCGGAUGGAUUUGAGUAGGAGCGUUAAGCCUUGGACCCGAAAGAUGGUGAACUAUGCUUGGAUAGGGUGAAGCCAGAGGAAACUCUGGUGGAGGCUCGCAGCGGUUCUGACGUGCAAAUCGAUCGUCAAAUCUGAGCAUGGGGGCGAAAGACUAAUCGAACCAUCUAGUAGCUGGUUACCGCCGAAGUUUCCCUCAGGAUAGCAGUGUUGUUCUUCAGUUUUAUGAGGUAAAGCGAAUGAUUAGGGACUCGGGGGCGCUUUUUAGCCUUCAUCCAUUCUCAAACUUUAAAUAUGUAAGAAGCCCUUGUUACUUAACUGAACGUGGGCAUUCGAAUGUACCAACACUAGUGGGCCAUUUUUGGUAAGCAGAACUGGCGAUGCGGGAUGAACCGAACGCGGGGUUAAGGUGCCAGAGUGGACGCUCAUCAGACACCACAAAAGGCGUUAGUACAUCUUGACAGCAGGACGGUGGCCAUGGAAGUCGGAAUCCGCUAAGGACUGUGUAACAACUCACCUGCCGAAUGUACUAGCCCUGAAAAUGGAUGGCGCUCAAGCGUCCCACCCAUACCCCGCCCUCAGGGUAGAAACGACGCCCUGAGGAGUAGGCGGCCGUGGAGGUCAGUGACGAAGCCUAG
rnacentral:rRNA from 1 species